rnacentral:lncRNA from 1 species
UUCAGCCUCAACGAGGCCUUCGCCGCCUUGGAUAGGCCCUGGUACCAUGGCUUCGAAUCGUCGUCCGCGGACACAUAGAAUCUCGCCGGAAUCAACUCAAUCAAAUGGUCGAAAAACUCACUUUGAGAAUGAAUAAUCGAUGUGAGGUCUUCGACGGCGGCGCAAUUUUGCUUUUGCUUCUUCUUCGCCAUCCUUCGCAUAGGUUUAAUUAGAAUUGCGGUGUAUUUAGGGUUAUCGAAGGCUGGUACUUUUUUUUUUUUUUUUCUCUUUUGAGAACAAGGGUGGUACUUAUUCGUGUGUUGGAAAAUGUAUUUUAUUUCCUUUUAUUUUUGAGUUGGCCGCAUGGGUGCGCCGGGUCCGAUCCGAUCCGCAUCAAAUAUUUAUAUUUCGGAGUUUUGUAAAUAAAGUAUAUACUCCUUCCGUCUCACUCCAAUAAGCUCACUUCUUUUGGACAGAGAGAUUAAGAAAACUUAUUUUUUUAGUAGAAAAGUAGUAGUAAAGUGGUGUGGUCCACACCAAU